rnacentral:rRNA from 1 species
GAUAAACGCUGGCGGCGUGCCUUAUGCAUGCAAGUCGAACGAUCCCGAUUUAUCGGGAUAGUGGCAAACGGGUGAGUAACACGUAAGUAACUUGCCCCUAAGUAGGGGAUAACUCUGAGAAAUUGGAGCUAAUACCUUAUGUGGUGAUGGAGUUAAUGCUUCAUCAUUAAAGUCUUAGGGCGCUUGAGGAGGGGCUUGCGUCCGAUUAGCUAGUUGGUAAGGUAACGGCCUACCAAGGCGAUGAUCGGUAGCUGGUUUGAGAGGACGAUCAGCCACACUGGGAUUGAGAUACGGCCCAGACUCCUAUGGGAGGCAGCAGCAAGGAAUAUUGUGCAAUGGGCGAAAGCCUGACACAGCGACGCUGCGUGGGGGAAUAAGGCCUUCGGGUUGUAAACCCCUUUUCUCAGGGAAGAAUAAUGACGGUACCUGAGGAAUAAGUCACGGCUAACUACGUGCCAGCAGCCGCGGUAAUACGUAGGUGGCGAGCGUUAUCCGGAUUUACUGGGUGUAAAGAAAGCGCGGGCGGCUUUUCAAGUCGAAUAUGAAAUCUCCCGGCUUAACUGGGAGGGACUAUUCGAUACUGUUGGGCUAGAGGGCAGCAGGGGGAGGUGGAAUUCCCGGUGGAGUGGUGAAAUGCGUAGAUAUCGGGAGGAACACCAGUGGCGAAGGCGGCCUCCUGGGCUGUUGCUGACGCUGAGGCUUGAAAGCGUGGGGAGCAAACAGGAUUAGAUACCCUGGUAGUCCACGCCAUAAACUAUGGACACUAGGUAUAGGGAGUAUCGACCCUCUCUGUGCCGAAGCUAACGCUUUAAGUGUCCCACCUGGGAACUACGGCCGCAAGGCUA